GCUGUGUGCAGGAGCCAGGCAUGUAAGAAGUUAAACCAAGCAUUGUGAAACCAGAUCAGGUCUCAACUGUCUGUUUAAAAAGUAACAUCUCUAGUUUUUACAUGAAUUUUUAAUUUUAGAUGACACCUUUGACUGGAAGUGACAGUGGAGCAGAUCAUUUGUGUAAUUACAGCAACAGUCGUUGAGGAAGGAAAGAAUAUCUCCAAAGCAUAUAAAACAUGAAAUGGAUUUGAUAGUGUAUGAACCCUGUAACCGGAGCUGCAGGAACCUCCUGGCUUAGAGAGGCUGCAAACCUGGGUGAGAUACUUUACACGUCGUUCUAGGAAACAUCAUGCAUGAUGUAAAUGUGUUGGGAUUUCCUACAAUGAACACACAAGGCAAUCAGCAGAAAAACUGGAGUAUCUACAAAGCAAGAUUGAAGCGAUGUGCUGCUGAAAAGGAAACUUCCUGUGAUGAUCACUGUGAAGACCAAAUGCUUCCUGAGAUGGGUACUGUUCUGGUGCCUACAUAUACACCAGGAGGACUGGAAAACUGCCCCAAAGAGUUAAAUGGCUGCUCAACAUCAAAGACAGCAGAGAGAUGUCUGACUGUGCUCAGUGUGUAUAUUUUUCAGAACUGUAAGCAAGGAACUUACAGGACCAACAUGAAGGAUCGGCAUAAACCCUAAGCAUGAGCUGUGGAGCGAGCAAUAACUUUAAUUUGGCGUACUGUAAAGUACUUACCUGGACCUCCAUAGGCUCCUCUGCCUGAUGUGGGACACUGCGGCAUCAAAUGGACAUCCUGGGGAUUGGAAAGGGCAGAGGAUGGCAAGAAGGACAGCAGCAAUACUUAUGAAUUUGCUAUGUGCAGAAAGCCUUAAAAACCUGGAAAAGCAUUUGGGGGGAGGGGAGAGAGCUUUCUCUUUCUAUGUUUGAAAGAUGCAUAGGAGGAGUUUGGGAGUAGAACUAUUGAAAAACUCCUUAAACUUACUUUGAAUCACAGAAUGUGUUCAUAAAUGUGAAGUGUAAAGGAAAGUAGGUGAAAUAAGAGUAUAAAUGCUUUUAUUUCUUUCAGGAUGAAAGAAACUUAAAUUGCUGUCACUGUGCCCAAAAGGAGGCAGCCUGCAUUGCCACCUAGCUGGGCUAAAAUACAGGGAGACAUCAAUGGAGCAGAGAGUGGGGUUUGGCACUGGUUUUCUCUAGCAGAAGUUCCAUCUUGAUCAGUUAUGUAGUUGAAGGCCAAGUGAUUAAUCUAAAGUAUUAAGACAGGAGGAAGAGCUGUGUGUGGGCAGUGCUGGGGGCUCAGCUGGUGGGCAGUGCCUUGCUUGUCUGGAUGCUCUGCCAAAGGGCAUGAGGAAAGGCCAGAGCUGUACCUGGAGAGAGAUCUUGUUUUGUACACUGCAUCCUGUGCUGCUUGUCUUAUCCAUGUCAUUCACAGAGGCUCUUCUAACUCCCUCAUCUUGGGGGAUGAUGGGGCAUAACACAGCAGGACAUAAUACCUGACACAAAUUAUUUGUCAGGUGGAAAGCAAAAUAAAAUCAGAGGGCAAAGAAAAAUACUUAAUAAA
rnacentral:lncRNA from 1 species